GGGCCCCGCUCCCCUGCCGGGCUGGCAGGACGCCUUCGCCGUCGCCCUCACCAGUCGCUAGAUGAAGGUGCGCCGGCGGUCUCCGCGGGGCAGGCGCGCGGCCGCGCAGGGACUCAUCCUUAGUGAAAGCUACCGGGGACAACGAAGGGAGCCAGGAGCCGGGACGCCCGAGUCAGCUCCGGGGACGGCUGCACGGAAAGCGACAGCCGCGACUGUCGGCGCCGGGACCGGGUUCGGGGAAACCUGAGCUAGAGCGGGCGGGACUCGGGAAUAAGACGGGCGCUGAUUGGCCGGAGUUCGUGUAUGCCCCACAGUGAUUGGUCGGGGCCUGCCCACAAGGCCUAGCGUGGCAGUACCUCAGCUGUGGCCUUUCCCUAGUAUCCCAAAGGAGCAUGACCCCUGCCGGCCUUGGUGCGGUCGACACUGGCUGCCGCCCUACACUCAGAACCAGUACUGCCCCUCUUGGUGCCAGAUGUCACCCUAGGAGAUCUGUCUCCCCGCAGGUCGACACUCGGAAAGGAGGUUAAGGCUGGGAUGGAGGAAACAAGGAACUGGCUGGAUGCCCAAGCACCACUCCGUAGAAACGUGGGCAUCUUAGAAAAGUUGCUUCCCGGAUCACUCGUAGUGGGAUAACUGGAAAACCAGAGGUGUCCUCUCCCCAAGACUGGGCCCUGCUGCUCUGUGCCCCGCCUGUUGUGCCCGGAUUGUCUGAGUGUCACUCUCUUUUUGUCAGAAGGCGCCAUAGAUUUUUCAGAUCGCCACUGUGCGACCAGCUGCUGACUUGGGUCACAUCUGUCUGCCUGACGCCAGGCUUACAAUAGGUUUUCCUCCCUGAACUCUUAAAUCUACAAGCCAUUUUAAAGGUUGCAAAUUGUGUGCCAAUAAUCAGUCCAGAACGGAAAACAUACUCCUGCUGAAGUCUGAUACAGAGGCGCCUUAGUAAACAUGUGUUCAGGGAGGAGUAGCAUGACUCAGAGAAAAACAGCACUUGGAGCCCAGAGUUGUUUGAACCUCGGCCCUGUUUGUGUUGCUGUAUGAGCCACUGACACCAUCAUCUAUUAAACGGAGUUAAACUCAAUACCCUCUUAGACUGCUUCAGCCCAAUUGCCUGUUUUGUAGACUUUGUAGGAAAGUAAGUUGCUAGAUCAAACUGAAGGAGAGAUGGAAACAGACCUAGCUCCCCAGCUCUCCUCCCAGUGCAAGGACUUAAUUUGCUUUCUUACUUCCUACUCUGACCCAUUCUGUAAUGUAUAAACAGUGACUUGGAAGGAAGCUGUGUACACACUCAUGAACAAAGACGCUCAGUGAUCUGGAAGCUAGUGAUGUAAAUAAAUGUGUUGCCCUGAGUUC
rnacentral:lncRNA from 1 species